CUGAUGCAGCGACGCCGCGUGAGGGAUGACGGCCUUCGGGUUGUAAACCUCUUUCAGUAGGGAAGAAGCGAAAGUGACGGUACCUGCAGAAGAAGCGCCGGCUAACUACGUGCCAGCAGCCGCGGUAAUACGUAGGGCGCAAGCGUUAUCCGGAAUUAUUGGGCGUAAAGAGCUCGUAGGCGGUUUGUCGCGUCUGCCGUGAAAGUCCGGGGCUCAACUCCGGAUCUGCGGUGGGUACGGGCAGACUAGAGUGAUGUAGGGGAGACUGGAAUUCCUGGUGUAGCGGUGAAAUGCGCAGAUAUCAGGAGGAACACCGAUGGCGAAGGCAGGUCUCUGGGCAUUAACUGACGCUGAGGAGCGAAAGCAUGGGGAGCGAACAGGAUUAGAUACCCUGGUAGUCCAUGCCGUAAACGUUGGGCACUAGGUGUGGGGGACAUUCCACGUUUUCCGCGCCGUAGCUAACGCAUUAAGUGCCCCGCCUGGGGAGUACGGCCGCAAGGCUAAAACUCAAAGGAAUUGACGGGGGCCCGCACAAGCGGCGGAGCAUGCGGAUUAAUUCGAUGCAACGCGAAGAACCUUACCAAGGCUUGACAUGAACCGGAAAUACCUGGAAACAGGUGCCCCGCUUGCG
rnacentral:rRNA from 1 species